rnacentral:lncRNA from 1 species
UGAGCAACAACUUGCAACUUGAUGCACACCUCAGGCUUAACAAUGCACAUUCAUAAUGGGAAACCCAACAAAGACACACAAACAAAGCAUGCAACAACAAGAAACAGUUAAAACAACACAAAAAAAUGAUGGAAAAAAAAUGGUGAGAGUGUAGGGGGCGCCUGGGCGCCCCUCAGGGGGCGCUGGGGCGCGAAAAGUGCAGAAUAGUGGCUACAAAGUGUGUCUGGCAGUGGCAGGUGGCGCCUGGGCGCCCUAUAGGGGGCGCCUGGGCGCGAAUUAUACAGAAAAAUCAGAGUUUGGUUCAGCAAUGCACGAGUCACCCAAAACAUACAACAGUAUUAUCAACACAACUUUCAACAAUCAAGCUAAGCCACAAGCAGAUUUUAACAAAAAGAACACCAAAAACAAGUUCAAAAAGGUAAAUGAAAAAGAAAAAGAAAAAACCAUACUUGAGUUGGAGUGGAUGGGAGUGAUUCUCGCAGAGAGUGGACCUUGAGUGGAAUGAUGUAGUGCGUGAGGGUUUGUGGGUGAGAGGGAAAAUUUUCGAAAGGGAAUGGGAGAUUGGGUGGAAUGCAAUGGUUGAAAAAGAGAGAGUGAUUGGAGGAGAGGGUUAGGGUUUGAAAAUGAAAGGGAAGUGGCAGUGAGAGGGAAGAACGUGAGAGGAUCUUGGUGGUGGUUGGGGCAACGAAGAAGUGGAGAGGAAAGUGGGUGAGUGGUGCUAAAGAGAGGGGCGCUAGGGUUAGAGUGUGUGAGAGAGGCAUAAGGGGAAAAGGGGCGCUAGGGUUAAAAAAGGAUUGG